rnacentral:rRNA from 1 species
GGCAACGUCCAUACCAUGUUGAAUACACCAGUUCUCAUUCGAUCACCAAAGUCCAGCAAAACUGGGUGUGGUCAAUAAAUGGAUAGGUGACCGCCUGUGGAUGCCACGUGAUGUUGGCU